rnacentral:rRNA from 1 species
AGCAGCCGCGGUAAUUCCAGCUCCAAUAGCGUAUAUUAAAGUUGUUGCAGUUAAAAAGCUCGUAGUUGAAUUUCGGGGUUAGUAGAUUGGUCAUGCCUCUGGUAUGCACUGGUCUCACUGAUUCCUCCUUCCUGAUGAGCCGUAAUGCCAUUAAUUUGGUGUUGCGGGGAAUUUGGACUGUUACUUUGAAAAAUUAGAGUGUUUAAAGCAAGCUAACGCUUGAAUACAUUAGCAUGGAAUAAUGAAAUAGGACGUUCGAUCCUAUUUUGUUGGUUUCUAGGAUUGACGUAAUGAUUAAUAGGGAUAGUUGGGGGCACUAGUAUUCAAUUGUCAGAGGUGAAAUUCUUGGAUUUAUUGAAGACUAACUACUGCGAAAGCAUUUGCCAAGGAUGUUUUCAUUAAUCAAGAACGAAAGUUAGGGGAUCGAAGACGAUCAGAUACCGUCGUAGU